AAAAUGUGUCAACCACACCAAAUAAUCAAUUUGUUGAGAAAUUUUGGAAGCUUUACUUGAUAAAAAUUUGAAAGUCUUGAAGAGGAUUCAGGUCGCUCUUCUGUGCAGCCUCUGGAAUAAGAGCUGUGUCACUGUUGAAAAGUUUACAUGCUGAGGGGUUUCCAUCUUCAUUGUUCAACUGGUGCUUUACUUCAUCUUCACAGUCUCACUUUAAGGCAGCUAGGGUUGUGACGGAGAAGGAUCAUUCCCUGACUUUGGCUGCUUCAAGUUGUUGUGUACAGGAUUUGCUUAUGAGGGCCCACGUGAUUUCAGACGAGCCUGAGCUUUUGUCUCUCCCUCAUCCAUCUCAACACAAUCUUCAUGUGGCUUUUGCCCGUCAAUCCACUCGCUCCAGCUUGCUGAAAAUGUAAAACAACUACUAGUAUUAUGGUCAGCGAUCACUGUCAGAUUGAUUGGAUUAAUUAUAAUUACAGAUCAAACGGUUGAAAUUCAAUUUAAUAGAUACACACACCUUGACGCGUUCCCAAGUUUCGGCAAAGGUGAGAGGACCGUGUUCCUUGACUAUGGCAAACAUAACCCUCGUAAUUCAUCUUUGGUUUUGGCUUCGUCGACAAAAAUCUCACAAACAAUCUGCCUUCAAGCAACAACAUAACUCCCACUAAAUGUAUUUUUUACACUCUCAAACGCACCGUUUUUAUUUUUGUUAUAAAUUUGACGCUGCCA
rnacentral:lncRNA from 1 species